AUUGAACGCUGGCGGCAGGCCUAACACAUGCAAGUCGAGCGAGCGGCGGACGGGUGAGUAAUGUAUGGGGACUGCCCGAUAGAGGGGGACAACUACUGGACACGGUGGCUAAUACCGCAUACUAUCGGAUAACCCAUAUGGGAUUAGCUAGUAGGUGGGGUAAAGGCUCACCUAGGCGACGAUCUCUAGCUGGUCUGAGAGGAUGAUCCGCCACACUGGGACUGAGAGCCGGCACAGACGCCGACGGAGGCAGCAGUGGGGAAUAUUGAACAAGGGGCGCAAGCCUGAUACAGCCAGGCCGCGUGUAUGAAGAAGGCCUUAGGGUUGUAAAGUACUUUCAGCGGGGAGGCGUUACCCGCAGAAGAAGCACCGGCUAACUCCGUGCCAGCAGCCGCGGUAAUUC
rnacentral:rRNA from 1 species